rnacentral:tRNA from 1 species
AUCUUCGUAGCUCAAUAGGUAGAGCAAUUACCUUCUAAGUAAGNGGUUGUCGGUUCGAGUCCUACGGGAGAUG